GACGAACGCUGGCGGCGCCCUUAACACAUGCAAGUCGAACGGAAAGGCCCUGCUUUUGUGGGGUGCUCGAGUGGCGAACGGGUGAGUAACACGUGAGUAACCUGCCCUUGACUUUGGGAUAACUUCAGGAAACUGGGGCUAAUACCGGAUAGGAGCUCCUGCUGCAUGGUGGGGGUUGGAAAGUUUCGGCGGUUGGGGAUGGACUCGCGGCUUAUCAGCUUGUUGGUGGGGUAGUGGCUUACCAAGGCUUUGACGGGUAGCCGGCCUGAGAGGGUGACCGGCCACAUUGGGACUGAGAUACGGCCCAGACUCCUACGGGAGGCAGCAGUGGGGAAUAUUGCACAAUGGGCGGAAGCCUGAUGCAGCAACGCCGCGUGCGGGAUGACGGCCUUCGGGUUGUAAACCGCUUUCGCCUGUGACGAAGCGUGAGUGACGGUAAUGGGUAAAGAAGCACCGGCUAACUACGUGCCAGCAGCCGCGGUGAUACGUAGGGUGCGAGCGUUGUCCGGAUUUAUUGGGCGUAAAGGGCUCGUAGGUGGUUGAUCGCGUCGGAAGUGUAAUCUUGGGGCUUAACCCUGAGCGUGCUUUCGAUACGGGUUGACUUGAGGAAGGUAGGGGAGAAUGGAAUUCCUGGUGGAGCGGUGGAAUGCGCAGAUAUCAGGAGGAACACCAGUGGCGAAGGCGGUUCUCUGGGCCUUUCCUGACGCUGAGGAGCGAAAGCGUGGGGAGCGAACAGGCUUAGAUACCCUGGUAGUCCACGCUGUAAACGGUGGGUACUAGGUGUGGGGUCCAUUCCACGGGUUCCGUGCCGUAGCUAACGCUUUAAGUACCCCGCCUGGGGAGUACGGCCGCAAGGCUAAAACUCAAAGGAAUUGACGGGGCCCCGCACAAGCGGCGGAGCAUGCGGAUUAAUUCGAUGCAACGCGUAGAACCUUACCUGGGUUUGACAUGGAUCGGGAGUGCUCAGAGAUGGGUGUGCCUCUUUUGGGGUCGGUUCACAGGUGGUGCAUGGCUGUCGUCAGCUCGUGUCGUGAGAUGUUGGGUUAAGUCCCGCAACGAGCGCAACCCUUGUUCACUGUUGCCAGCACGUUAUGGUGGGGACUCAGUGGAGACCGCCGGGGUCAACUCGGAGGAAGGUGGGGAUGACGUCAAGUCAUCAUGCCCCUUAUGUCCAGGGCUUCACGCAUGCUACAAUGGCUGGUACAGAGAGUGGCGAGCCUGUGAGGGUGAGCGAAUCUCGGAAAGCCGGUCUCAGUUCGGAUUGGGGUCUGCAACUCGACCUCAUGAAGUCGGAGUCGCUAGUAAUCGCAGAUCAGCAACGCUGCGGUGAAUACGUUCCCGGG
rnacentral:rRNA from 1 species